GCAGCACUGACCAUUUCCAUGGGCCAACCAACAGGUCCAUGUCUUUCCUGUGCUGAGGGCUCCAGAGCUGGACACAGUACUGCAGGUGGGGGUCUCACCAGAGCAGAGCGGAGGGGAAGAAUCACCUCCCUUGGCUUUAAAGUGUUAUAACUGAAAUACGUGACCUUUCUUCUUUCCCAGGCUUUGUCAAGUGGAAGCCCACCAGGCCCAGAGAACAACAAUGCCGACCAUCAGUGCCCACAAAGCAACAGCAAGAAGCCGUCGGGACAGUCCACGAUAUCCUAUGAUUACUCGGAGGAGGAGCUCAUGGCAAGCAUCGAGCGGGAGUACUGCCGCUGAACCCAGCCCCGCGCCACCAGAACUUCCAGCACGUUCCUGGAAACCCAGCUGGAGAAAAACUGCUGCUGACAAAAUAACCCCUGGCACAGCAAGAGGGCACGGGAGAGGUGGGUGGCGAGGGGAGGUGGAGCGUGAGAGGCAGCAUGGUGGCUUGGGAAGCACGGGGGAGAAAGCCCUCCUGACCAGCUCUGAGUGAGAGCAUGAAGAUCCUCACCAACUGCGGGUUUCUGAUUGGUGCUACUGGAAGAGGGACCAGUUCAUCUCCUGAAUCAAUAUUUGGAGCUCGUUUCUAAAUGGUAUUUACAAAUGAAGACAUUCUGGAAUUGAAGUAUCAUACUAGAAGCAUCGAGACGUGGUGCUUUGAAGGAAGAUCUUGUUUUGUCUUAGCAGAAGAAAAAUGCAGCAAUGUCAUUUGAUUCAGGUCUCACUUAAGGGGUUGUUGCAUGAAAUUUGUGUUCCUGCCACUUAAACCAGGCCAAAUUUACUCCUUGCGCUGUGUAGGCCUCAGGUCCAGGUCUGAAUUGGGCACUGUCUCUUUGUCCCCAGUAUGGGCUGUAAGGUGAAAAGUGGAGUGAGUCUACCACCCAGUCCAUGGGCAGUGUAACCCCAGAGGUCACAGCCCAUCACAGAGCUGAACGAGGCUCCUGGGACCCAUCAGGGAGCACAGGGUUUGUACAAUCGCUUCGGGGUGGGACCCUGGCAUCGGUGUCCUACCUGUGGCUCCUUGGCGUGGAUCCUCCAGCAAAACUCAAGGAGGCACGUCCCCGGUGCUGCCUUGCUGUGGCCAGUGAUCAUCCAUUUUGAGAGAGACUUAUGUGCUAUUUGUAGAGGAGCUGUUGGCAAUCAGUUUUCAGAGUUACACUCCUGGCCUUCCCACGUAUCUGUUGUCCUCGCUGAGUAACCCAGAAGAAAAAUCACUUGUGUUUUACCACUAGCUGACUGCAAAGUAAAACAGAAAGUCAACUCUCCAAAGAAAACCAUAUAUUUUCAGUGCUCCCAGACAGGGAAACCUGGUAGUUUAGGGUUUCUGCUUUUAUUUUACCUGCAUCUUAACGUAUUAUGAGUAGCUGCUUAUUAUCAGAAGUAGAAAAAUACCUUAUUUCUGCCUUCAGCUGUAGCAUAAAAGACAUCAGAUAAAACCUUCACAAAGCCUGUGUAAAUGCAAGAGGAAACAGCAGGACACAUCUUAAGAUGCUGUAUUUUAACUUCUUUGUAAUUCCUGGUAUCUGUGAAUCAGAAAUAAAUGCAUCUGUACUCUAUGUAGCCCUCA
rnacentral:lncRNA from 1 species